ACGGUAAAUCAGACCGCCGCGGUGCAGCAGGAGUGUAGUAACGGCUGUUGCAUUGAGGAAAGUCCGGGCUCUGCAGGGCAUGAUGCCGGGUAACGCCCGGGCAAGGCGCGUAACACGCGUCUUGACAGAUAGCGCAACAGAAAGCAAACCGCCGGGUAUUGCCAGUGUCGCUGGAAAUACCCGGUAAGGGUGAAAGGGUGCGGUAAGAGCGCACCGCGGAACCGGUAACGGUUCCGGCACGGCAAGCCUCAUCAGGAGCAAAGUUAAACAGCGCAUGGACAUGAAUAACGUAUUCAUGUAAUCGCGGAUUGCCCGUCCGUUAAGCGCGGGUAGACUGCUGGAGAUCAUCCGCAAGGGUGAUACCAGAUAGAUGGCGGUUUAGUACCGGUGAACCGGUAUUAACAGAACCCGGCUUAUGAUUUACCGUUUUU
rnacentral:RNase_P_RNA from 1 species